rnacentral:rRNA from 1 species
CAAUGCGGGUGAGUAAUGUAUAGGAAUCUACCUAGUAGUACGGAAUAAUUGUUGGAAACGACAACUAAUACCGUAUACGCCCUACGGGGGAAAAAUUUAUUGCUAUUAGAUGAGCCUAUAUUAGAUUAGCUAGUUGGUGGGGUAAUAGCCUACCAAGGUAAUGAUCUAUAGCUGAUCUGAGAGGAUGAUCAGCCACACUGGAACUGAGAUACGGUCCAGACUCCUACGGGAGGCAGCAGUGGGGAAUAUUGGACAAUGGGCGAAAGCCUGAUCCAGCCAUGCCGCAUGAGUGAAGAAGGCCUUUGGGUUGUAAAGCUCUUUUAGUGAGGAAGAUAAUGACGGUACUCACAGAAGAAGUCCUGGCUAACUCCGUGCCAGCAGCCGCGGUAAUACGGAGAGGGCUAGCGUUAUUCGGAAUUAUUGGGCGUAAAGGGCGCGUAGGCUGGUUAAUAAGUUAAAAGUGAAAUCCCGAGGCUUAACCUUGGAAUUGCUUUUAAAACUAUUAAUCUAGAGAUUGAAAGAGGAUAGGGGAAUUCCUGAUGUAGAGGUAAAAUUCGUAAAUAUUAGGAGGAACACCAGUGGCGAAGGCGUCUAUCUGGUUCAAAUCUGACGCUGAAGCGCGAAGGCGUGGGGAGCAAACAGGAUUAGAUACCCUGGUAGUCCACGCUGUAAACGAUGAAUGUUAAAUAUGGGGAGUUUACUUUCUGUAUUACAGCUAACGCGUUAAACAUUCCGCCUGGGGACUACGGUCGCAAGAUUAAAACUCAAAGGAAUUGACGGGGACCCGCACAAGCGGUGGAGCAUGUGGUUUAAUUCGAUGCAACGCGAAAACCAGUCC